rnacentral:rRNA from 1 species
GACGUAGGGCGCGAGCGUUGUCCGGAUUUAUUGGGCGUAAAGCGUCCGUAGAUGGUUUUGUCAGUCUGCUGUCAAAGCACAGGGCUUAACCCUGUAAAGGCAGUGGAAACUACAAGACUAGAGUGCAGUAGGGGCAGAGGGAAUUCCCAGUGUAGCUGUGAAAUGCGUAGAGAUUGGGAAGAACAUCCGUGGCGAAAGCGCUCUGCUGGACUGCAACUGACAUUGAGGGACGAAAGCUAGGGGAGCGAAUGGG